GUGCCAGCCGCCGCGGUAAUACGGAAGGUCCGGGCGUUAUCCGGAUUUAUUGGGUUUAAAGGGAGCGCAGGCUGGCUUUUAAGCGUGACGUGAAAUGCGGCGGCUCAACCGUCCGAAGUGCGUCGCGAACUGGAGGCCUUGAGUGAGUUCGACGCCGGCGGAAUUCGUGGUGUAGCGGUGAAAUGCUUAGAUAUCACGAGGAACCCCGAUUGCGAAGGCAGCCGGCGAGGCCUUUACUGACGCUAAAGCUCGAAGGUGCGGGUAUCGAACAGGAUUAGAUACCCUGGUAGUCCGCACGGUAAACGAUGGAUGCCCGCUGUUUGCGAUACACUGUGAGCGGCCAAGCGAAAGCGUUAAGCAUCCCACCUGGGGAGUACGCCGGCAACGGUGAAACUCAAAGGAAUUGACGGGGGCCCGCACAAGCGGAGGAACAUGUGGUUUAAUUCGAUGAUACGCGAGGAACCUUACCCGGGCUUGAACUGCAGCGGAACGAUUCAGAGAUGAUGAGGUCCUUCGGGACCGCUGUGGAGGUGCUGCAUGGUUGUCGUCAGCUCGUGCCGUGAGGUGUCGGCUUAAGUGCCAUAACGAGCGCAACCCCUCUCUUCAGUUGCCAUCGGGUCGAGCCGGGCACUCUGGAGACACUGCCACCGUAAGGUGUGAGGAAGGUGGGGAUGACGUCAAAUCAGCACGGCCCUUACGUCCGGGGCUACACACGUGUUACAAUGGGUGGUACAGAGAGCCGGUCUGCCGCAAGUCAGAUCCAAUCAAGAAAGCCAUCCUCAGUUCGGACUGGGGUCUGCAACCCGACCCCACGAAGCUGGAUUCGCUAGUAAUCGCGCAUCAGCCAUGGCGCGGUGAAUACGUUCCCGGGCCUUGUACACACCGCCCGU
rnacentral:rRNA from 1 species